GCUGCCUCUAGAGGCAUUACAGAUGUGACUGUUGUGUCACUGUGUGUCAGUAGGUUGCAGAGAGAAGAGAGGUAUAUCUAUGCUCAAGGGUUCUGACCUAUGAACAUCUAAAUGAUUAGUAGCCUUACACU